rfam:Ictidomys tridecemlineatus contig025103, whole genome shotgun sequence.
UGAAUUAUGGCUCAGGGUAGAGCACUUGCCUAGCAUGUGUGAGGUUCUGGGUUCAAUUCUCAGCACCUCAU